UACGUAGGGGCCUAGCGUUGUCCGGAUUUAUUGGGCGUAAAGAGCUCGUAGGCGGUUUGGUAAGUCGGGUGUGAAAUCUCCACGCUCAACGUGGAGGGGCCACCCGAUACUGCCAUGACUGGAGUCCGGUAGGGGAGUGUGGAAUUCCCGGUGUAGCGGUGAAAUGCGCAGAUAUCAGGAGGAACACCGGUGGCGAAGGCGGGUCUCUGGGCCGUUACUGACGCUGAGGAGCGAAAGCGUGGGGAGCGAACAGG
rnacentral:rRNA from 1 species